UCAACCGUCAAGCAUCAGUGUGCAAUGUGACGGUGUAAAAUUUCCGAAGUCUGACGUCUCCACCCAAGACCGUAACCACACAUAUAUAAUAACAAGACCUCACUCGCUGUAGACAGAGGUAGCUUGAUCAACUUUGCCACUCGACGCCAUCUCGCUAAACAGCUCCGAUAACUGGAUAUAUAUUCUGAAGAUCUUGCAUCACAAGGUACAUCUAUAUAGGACCAGAAAUUUCAGUUUCGUUUCAAAACUUGUGUCAGAAUGCUGAACAAAAUAGUUCUCGCGUUGGGAGUUUUGGUCGUUAUCUCGGCUUUGGGAGGAGCUUUGCAAUGCAAUUUUUGCAUGUACUCGUCAGAGAUGCCAGAAUCCGAACAGAAGUGCACAGAUAAGCUUGUCAACUGUACCACAGGUUAUUGCCUGACUGCUAUUUUUAACAAUACUGCUGGAAAAAUGUUGGCUGUCAGACAUUGUGACAGCAGCGAAGCAAAGAAGAAGCUAUGUCCUGCUGCAAAGGGCCAAAAAAAAUGUGACGCGGAAAUACAAUGGAAGUCCUGUCUUGUGGAGUGUUGUACAACCGAUAAUUGCAACAAUUAUACUCCACCUAGUCAGGGUGCCACUGGCGUAAUGGCGACCAAGUUUGCAGUUUUCUGGAUGUUUUUUAUUUGUUUAUUGUUCGCUUAACUCGAUGAACCACAUUUAUAGUUUCGUCUCCUCUUUUGUUAGUUUUGACCGUAACUCGACCGCUGUAGUUUGCAUGCAAUUUACCAUUUGUAAUUAUCAUUACACUACUUUUACGGCACACGGCUAACCGCAAACUCCAAAUUUGAAAUCAUAUUUCGAGGCCAACUGUUAGCUGUUCGAAGUUUAGGGUUGUUUAUCUAUGAAAACUGAAGCAUGAAUUAGCUGCUACUUGGAGGGCAAAAAAUCAAAAACUUGUGAAGUUUGCCCCCAAAAGCGAUUUGAAAUCUGCCGUUUGCUGUUAGCCGUGUGCCGUAAACGUCAAUCUUAAGGUUCCUAAGUUUUAUGUUUACAGCGAACGUGAAACACGGAACUGCAAAGCUGAAUUUACUGUUUGGGUAUUAACAUUAGCAAAUAGCAAUGACCUUACAACACUUCUGGAUAUCACGAGUUUUAUAUAUAGAGCGUUUAUGAUUUAACGAAAUAGUCACGAAGUUCGUUAGCGGUGUGGCUUUACCGCGGUAGACGCCAAUCUUAUGUCUUUAAUAAUCUCGAUCAAGGUUUUCUUUACAAGGGUGACGUGGAUAUAACGGCAUUGUAGAAAUCGGUCCCAGGAUCC